GGGCCCAUAGCUCAAUGGCGGAGCAGGGGACUCAUAAUCCCUUGGUUGCAGGUUCGAGUCCUGCUGGGCCCACCA
rnacentral:tRNA from 1 species